rnacentral:rRNA from 1 species
GACGAACGCUGGCGGCGUGCUUAACACAUGCAAGUCGAACGGAAAGGCCCUGCUUUUGUGGGGUGCUCGAGUGGCGAACGGGUGAGUCACACGUGAGUAACCUGCCCUUGACUUUGGGAUAACUUCAGGAAACUGGGGCUAAUACCUGAUAGGAGCUCCUGCUGCAUGGUGGGGGUUGGAAAUUUUCGGCGGUUGGGGAUGGACUCGCGGCUUAUCAGCUUGUUGGUGGGGUAGUGGCUUACCAAGGCUAUGACGGGUAGCCGGCCUGAGAGGGUGACCGGCCACAUUGGGACUGAGAUACGGCCCAGACUCCUACGGGAGGCAGCAGUGGGGAAUAUUGCACAAUGGGCGGAAGCCUGAUGCAGCAACGCCGCGUGCGGGAAGACGGCCUUCGGGUUGUAAACCGCUUUCGCCUGUGACGAAGCGUGAGUGACGGUAAUGGGUAAAGAAGCACCGGCUAACUACGUG